rnacentral:rRNA from 1 species
AUUGAACGCUGGCGGCAGGCCUAACACAUGCAAGUCGAACGAGUGGCGGACGGGUGAGUACUGUCUAGGAGACUGCCUGAUGGAGGGGGAUAACUACAAGAGACGGUAACUAAUACCGCAUACCAUCAGAUGUGCCCAGGUGGGAGUAGCUAGUAGGUGGGGUAACGGCCCACCCAGGCGACGAUCCGUAGCUGGUCUGAGAGGAUGACCAGUCACACUGGAACUGAGACACGGUCCAGACUCCUACGGGAGGCAGCAGUGGGGAAUAUUGCACAAUGGGCGCAAGCCUGAUCCAGCCAUGCCGCGUGUAUGAAGAAGGCCUUCGGGUUGUAAAGUACUUUCAGCUGGGAGGCGUUACCCACAGAAUAAGCACCGGCUAACUCCGUGCCAGCAGCCGCGGUAAUAC